CAAAGAAUAGUUUAAGUAAAAAUAAUAAUUUUGGAGAUUAUAGAUAGGAAUAUAUUCUUUCUUUGA
rnacentral:tRNA from 1 species